AACCAUAUCACGUUGAAACACCGGUUUCUGUACGAUCAACGAAGUUAAGUAUCGUCGAGCCUGAUGAGUACCUAGAUGGGUGACCUCUUUGGAAUAGCAGGUGCUGUAA